CAAAUACAUACAGAGAAAGGGGAGAUGGGCGAUAGAGGUGGAGAGCACCUUGGCUGCAGAGGAGAGGAACAUCAGCAGCAACAAACAACCUAUGCCGUGGAAGUAGACGAACUUCCCCGUGCUGCAGCAGCACCCUUCAACAGACCAGAUGGGAGCAAAAUUUCAGCGCAAACGACAAGCACUAGAUCUGGAUGGCAAUGAAGAAAACCAUAAGAAAAAGAGAAGGGGAGGAGGGAUGCAUACCUCGAGGCCGUCAAUGGCGGAUUUUGCUGACAUAAUGCUCAUCACGCCUCGCCGCCCUCGUCCUUCGCCGCCACGUCGGAGAUGGGGAAGAUGAAGAUGUGGGAGUAGAAGGACGGGUCGCAGUAGAUGUCCUCGUCGGCAGCGACGGCGGCAGCCGUUUCCCGUUGAGGCAGUCGCGAGGGAGGGCGCUCAUCCUCCUGCCCUGUCCCGAUGGGAAGCAGGAGGGA
rnacentral:lncRNA from 1 species